AAUCAGACAAGGGGACUGUGAUGGGUGGUGUGUGACAGUAGUGCUGCACAGAUUAUGGAGAACCAAAUUCUGUUCCCUGUUAUCACACCAAUUUGACAUCCGGUGGGAGGAACAGAGGAGAUCCUGAAGAGUGAGGUGGAGGAGGAAGCAAGUAUGGAUCUCCAUGACAGAAACAGUGGGGAUAGUGAUGUUUUGCCCAGCUAGAGGGGAAAAACCAAGAAAGGCCAGAACAUUAAGCUUCAAAUUACCUUGUUGAUUAGGCCACGAAGAGCCACAAACUUCAUUGUGGAUGUCAGGCUACCCACACUUCAGCGGUCAUCAACUCUCUUCAUGUCCAGGACACGGAUGACCCCAGGCAGUAUG